rnacentral:lncRNA from 1 species
GUGUCUCUGUAUCCUGCUGGACUAUAUGCCCUUUAAAGCAAGUAGAGCACAUUACUCAUCACUCAAUCUCCAGGACCAAGUUAAUGUUCUGUAUAUAGUAAUGUCGACAGCAACAUCUCCCCCAGGUGUAACAACUAAACGUGUCUCCAGACAUUGGCAAAUAUCCUUGGGCCAUGGAGAAAACAUCACCUUCAAUUGAAAACCACUGGGCCACUCUAAUGCCUUCAAGAGAGAAGCAGCACCUUUCAUUGGAGGUAGCUGUAUCACAAGACAGCAGCAACAGCCUUAAGUCCUACAGCACACAGCACUGAAUAAAUGCUUUUGGACAGUUGUCUAUCUUCUGCCUCAGAGAAAAGAUGGAGUCCCGUUAAGAACAUAUGUACCUUGUACCUGACAUAGAAACUUCCUGUCCUAGAUGCUGUAGUAUAUUGUGGGUAUAUACUUGGGGAUUGAGAGAACAGAAAAAAGGCCGAGGCAUCAUCCUCUUCUAUGACUCUGAGGAUCAAAGGCAUUUUCUUGUAUUUCUUGAACAAAGAUUUGUGGAGGACCUACUCUGUGCAGACAUUAUUAGACAAUAAAGGAAGCCAAGAGUCUCAGGCCCUUCGCCCUUGCUUCUCAGAAAAGAACAGCUAACCAUUGCCAACCAGAAUGCAUAGAAACUGAACUACUUCUGUGUCUGCAAUUGUCAUCUUGGACAAAUUACCUAAACUGCUUGGGCUGAGAUAUGUGAAUUCAGAUAUUGAAGCUUAUUUAUACCUUCAUAAUUCUAUGCUUCCAUAAUGAUUAAAUCCACCAUAGUAAUAAAUAAAGGCCUUAACCACAUGAAGAA